CUUGGGCAGUUGCUUUACACUGGUGAGUCCAAGUUUUACCUUCUAUAGAAUGUGCUUAUUAAUAAUAGUACCUACCUCACGAGGUCAUUCUUUCAACAAACACUUAGUAUGUUCCUACUAUGUGCCAGGCAGUGAACAAACAAAAAUCUCUGUCUUUAUAUGGAGCUUACAUUCUAGUAGAAGAUAGACAACAAAAAUAAACAACUAGAUUAUAUCUUAUGUCAGAAAGGAAAGGGGCUAAGGAGAGGUGGGAGGGGUUAGAUGGAGUGACCAGAAGAGCCUGUAUGAAGCAGUGACUCAGCGGAUGUAAGACAGCGGCAGGUGGACAUCCCCGGGAAUUCCUUCCAGGCAGAGGGAACAGCCUGAGCAGAGACCCUGAGGCAGGAGCAGACCUAGUAUGUUGGAGGAACAGUGAGUCUGGCUGGACUGAGGGUGUGGACAGAGUGGAGAUGCAAUUGUCCUUGGAGAAAGUGAACUCAUUUGUUAGCUUGUCCAUCCCCCAGGCUGAACAGCAUUAGCUUCUCAAGAAUGAUUUUAUUUAUCUCUGUUUCUCCAGAGCCUACUAGAGAGCCUGGCAAUGAGUGCUUGUCCAUGAAGGAGGUUGUUAUUCCCGUUCCUCAGAGAGGAGACGACACUCAAAGAGCUGUCAAGCUGGUAAGGGACAGAGCAGAGAUUCAAAAUAGAAGUUGACCAAAAAUGUCACCAUGGCUGGGGCUGGCCCUGUGGCUGAGUGGUUAAGUUCGUGCGCUCCACUGCAGGCAGCCCAGUGUUUCGUUGGUUCCAAUCCCAGGCGCGGACGUGGCACUGCUCAUCAAACCACGCUGAGGCAGAGUCCCACAUGCCACAACUAGAAGGACCCACAACAAAGAAUAUACAACUAUGUACCAGGGGGCUUUGGGGAGAAAAAGGAAAAAAAUAAAAUCUUUAAAAAAAAAAAAAAGUCACCAUGGCUAAUCUCCAGGUGUUAGAUUAUAGCUAAUUUGUACUUUCUUUUUCACACAUUUUUUGUAUUAUCCAAGUUGUUGACAAUGAGAUUAUAUUACUUUCAUAACC
rnacentral:lncRNA from 1 species